CAAGUUUAUUAGUUACUAGAUACAGAAGCUCGUACUAGCAUUUUUCUUGUACUGGUAUAUUACCAUCACAGUACUGCCAUAUUUUUGUCGGCAUCACUGGGCACAGUUGGGAAGAGUAGAUCGUUGAAUGUUACAACUGCUACCAGUACUAGCAUCUGAAUGAGGACCAUGUUGGGGUCUUUUGCUGGAACCACU